rnacentral:rRNA from 1 species
CCUACGGGUGGCUGCAGUCGAGAAUCAUUCACAAUGGGGGAAACCCUGAUGGUGCGACGCCGCGUGGGGGAAUGAAGGUCUUCGGAUUGUAAACCCCUGUCAUGUGGGAGCAAAUUAAAAAGAUAGUACCACAAGAGGAAGAGACGGCUAACUCUGUGCAAGCAGCCGCGGUAAUACAGAGGUCUCAAGCGUUGUUCGGAAUCACUGGGCGUAAAGCGUGCGUAGGCUGUUUCGUAAGUCGUGUGUGAAAGGCGCGGGCUCAACCCGCGGACGGCACAAGAUACUGCGAGACUAGAGUAAGGGAGGGGGAACCGGAAUUCGCGGUGUAGCAGUGAAAUGCGUAGAUAUCGAGAGGAACACUCGUGGCGAAGGCGGGUUCCUGGACAUUAACUGACGCUGAGGCACGAAGGCCAGGGGAGCGAAAGGGAUUAGAUACCCGAGUAGUC